UACGGAGGGUGCAAGCGUUAUCCGGAUUCACUGGGUUUAAAGGGAGCGCAGGCGGAUUUGUAAGUCAGUGGUGAAAGGCUUAAGCUUAACUUGGGAACUGCCAUUGAUACUAUAAGUCUUGAAUGUUGUUGAGGUUUGCUGGAAUGGGUCAUGUAGCGGUGAAAUGCAUAGAUAUGACCCGGAACACCUAUUGCGAAGGCAGCAGGCUAAACAAAUAUUGACGCUGAGGCUCGAAAGCGUGGGGAUCAAACAGG
rnacentral:rRNA from 1 species